GAUAAAACCACUGUGCCCAGCGUACAGCUCUACUUAAAGGACUCCAGGGUGGAGCUGUUUAUUGUUCUUAGCAUCAUGGUGGUUUUUACUGUGGCGACUGUGGUUUUGCUCAAUGUGUACGCUUUGAUGGUGUUUGGUGUUCCAGUUCAUGGCCGUUCUUCAGACAAUGAGCGUACUAUGCAAAACACCAGAGGGGUGGACCCAGAUGGGAUGGAGGAUUGGUGUGAAAGCCAACUUGAUUCUGCAAACAUCAUUGAUGACGAUCAUGAUGGUCAUGGUGAUGGCGAUAAUGAUGAUGCAGGUGAAGAUUCUGUUGCCACCCCUACACCAAAUCCCCCAAACCAUACUACCUCAGCCCAAACGCAAGCUACUGGUGAAGCAAGUGAAGAUGCUGUAGUUACCGCCACACUAAAUUCUCAAAACAAGACCACAUCUUACCAGCCUGGAGUGACUGGUGAGGCAAGUAAAGAUGCUGUGGUUGCCACCCCAACACCGAAUCUCCAAAACCUGACUACCUCUGCCCACACUGAAGCUACUGAUGAGCCCAGUGAAGAUGAUUCAGUUACUACCCCAGCACCGGUUCCCCCAAACCUGACUACUUUGGCCCAAAAUGAAACUACAGGCAAUAUACUCUGCAAUACUUAAAUAAAUACAAAGCUUUGAGGAUUUUUUUCUGAAUAUUGAGGAGGUUUUUGUGUUUGACAACAUCUGCCUUCACCAAAGCAACUG
ensembl:lncRNA